AACGAACGCUGGCGGCAUGCCUAACACAUGCAAGUCGAACGAGCCCUUCGGGUGUAGUGGCGUACGGGUGCGUAACGCGAGGGAACAUGACCUUAGGUUCGGACUAACUACACGACAGGGGUGCUAUUACCGGAUAAUGUCUUCGGCCCAAGGAUUUAUCGCCUUUGGAUGGGCAAGCGUUGGAUUAGCUCGUUGGUAGGGUAAUAGCCUAAUACGGCGACAAUCCAUAGCUGGUCAGUGAGGAUGCUUAGCAACACUUGGACUAGGACACGGCCCAGACUCCUACGGGAUGCAGCAAUGGGUAAUGGAGGACAGUGGGCGGAGGGCUGAUGCAGCAAGGCCGCUUAAGUGAUGAAAUCCUUAGGGUUGAAAAGCUCAUGUACCCGUGAAGAUAAUGACAGUACCGAAUGAAUAAGCCCCGGCUAACUCCGUG
rnacentral:rRNA from 1 species